CUAGCUCCCAAGCAGCCUACAGCCUUUUGAAAGGCCAGUCUUACUCUCCCAACAGCACUGAGUUUAUUCCCAGGCAGCCAGUGAGCAGGGCUGUGAAUUUACCCCAGGCUACAAGCCUCCUAGUUGAGAAAGCAAGCUGACUCACAGUUCCUUGGCUGUCCAAUGGAGCCUGCAGUGGCAAUCCACCUCCUUCAAAGGAUGGUGUCAGAAGUGGGAUCCCAAGCAGAGCUUCUAGGGACCCCCAGGAGUGCCAAGUGAACAUGCAAGCUACCUUCAGGACCCACUUGUGUCCAUGGAUCUCUCAAAGCAGCUGAGGAUUGUGGGGCAACCAUCUUGUCCAGAGACCACGUAUUGAAACUCCUAGACUGAGGUUGGAUUAAAGAUGAUGGGGCCCCCAGUGCAAAAACAUACCAAAUUGUAAAGGCUAUCAACACUAUGAAGAAACUUCAUCAACUA
rnacentral:lncRNA from 1 species